ensembl:lncRNA LINC02051 long intergenic non-protein coding RNA 2051
GAGCAGUAAGCCAGGUACUGGACAACUAAGCACUGCAGAAAGACCCAGUUGGUCUGGUCCCUCAGGGCAGCAGCUCUGGGGGGCACCGCCACAGCUUUUCACUGUGGAGAUCAGCAGCAGCAGCUAUGGCAGCAUCCUGACCUCACAGGCCUUCCUGCCUUGCAUGGAGGAGCCAGGCAGGAGAGGAGCAAGACCUGUAGAAGCCUGGGUGAUAGAAGACUACUUGUGAGCUGGUGUGAGUCACGCUCAGCAAAGGGGGAAGAAGCAGUAAAAUGGGGUUAGAAUCAUUCCUGGGACUCUGUUUGUAACCAAGGGUUCUAGGGAAGACUGGUUACAGAAGUGAUCUUGGUGUUGAGCACUUAAAGGCCCAAGAUGGACCGGUUCUAUGAAGGUCGGCAGCAUGAGUAUGGUGUCACGACUCAGACAGGAUGAGAGUCAUCAUUGGAUCCCUGGGCCUCUCACCCAGGACCCCAGGUGCCUACCUUUGAAGCUUUCAUCUUCACUCCUGACUGACUGAUUGGGGCUCCAUUGGUGAGCCCGACUCCUGAUCCAAUCCAGGCCUCCAGAUGACAGUCUGUUGAAGAAUGGGCAGCACAGAUUGUGAUUCUUGAGAUUCUGAGUAUACUCUUGAAGCUGGGUUAGUGUCCUAGGCUUCUCUGCUUGUAAGAACUGGGCUAUAAUCCCAGGCAA